GCUUUUGUGAAGCUUUGCUGUUACACUGAGGGCUCCAGUAUCGGCGAUUUGGGUCAUCCCUAUUGCUUUGCUAAAUGAAUGGACUUUUCCUUAGUUCAGCUAAAGACAGGGUUCUUUCUCCCACGGUCACGAAACUUCAGGCUCACGGACCAUUUGAAUGCAUGGUAGUCAAGAGCAGGAACUGUGAGGGAAAACGUCUGAUUCUGAAAUCCAGCUGUGACACUCACACACUCUAUUACCUCCAGUGACUGACUUGUGCCUCAGUUUCCUGAGCUGAAAAAUGGGAAAUACAAUAGCUCCUACUUCAAAGAAGUAUUAAGGACGGAAUGAAGUAAUAUACAUGAAGUACUUACAACACUGCAUACCUGUGAUGUCUAAUAAUUGAGUGUCAACAUGAUUGGAUUGAAGGAUGCAAAGUAUUGUUCCUGGGUGUGUCUGUGAGGGUGCUGGCAAAGGAGAUUAACAUUUGAGUCAGUGGACUGGGAGAGGCAGACCCACCCUCAGUGCGGGUGAGCACCAGCUAAUAAGCUGCCAUCGCGGCUAGAAUAGAGCAGGCAGAAAUUGGAAGGAUUUGACUUGCUGAAUCUUCCAGCCUUCAUCUUUCUCCCGUGCUGGAUGCUUCCUGCCCUCGAACAUCAGACUCCAAAUUCAGCCUUGGGACUCUUGGACUUACACCAGUAGAUUUGCCAGGGACUCUCGGGACAGACUGAAGGAUGCACUGUCAGCUUCCCUACGUUUAAGGUUUUGGGACUCGGACUGGCUUCCUUGCUCCUCAGCUUGCAGACGGCCUUUCAUGGGACUUCACCUUGUGAUCGUGUGAGUCAAUUCUCCUAAUAAACUCCCCUUCAUAUAUACAUCUCUCAUAUCAGUUCUAUCCCUCUAGAGAACACUGACUAAUACACUGCUCAUAAUAAGUACUUAAUAAGAAUUAGCUGUUGUUUUUAUAAUUAUUACUAUGGCUUGGUUAUUACUAUCUCAUUAUGCAUCCUUGAUGCCUACCACCUUCUCUUGUGUUUGAUGACCCUGAAUCAAAUGUGAGAGAGAACCCUAGUGGUGGAAAGGUGCCAGCGUCAUCCAGAUCACACAGAACCACUGGUGUAACAGAGCGCCUCGUCUUGUGUUGGAGGCGUACAUCAGGAUUUAUAGACAAACUGUGUCUCUUUGGGGAAAAUCAUCAACUGAUGCAGUACCAAGUGUGUGUCUUGGGGGUAUCCUUUCCUGGGUUGAACCCCCUCUUCUUCACAAUAUCCUAUGGAAAAAGUGUGUCAGAGGGAGAGUGCAGAUAGAGGAGACUAAAAGACAUUAAAGAGAUUGUCAAAAGUCAGAGGAUAAACUCUUUUUCAAC
rnacentral:lncRNA from 1 species